rnacentral:tRNA from 1 species
AGGAUACCUGGUUUUCACCCAGGCGACCCGGGUUCAAAUCCCGGCAACGGAA